CAAUGCCUUUUGCUAAAUCAAAUCUGAUUUUCCCAAAGCCGACCCUCAUAAAAGCAGCACCAAGUUCCAAGUGGCAGUGGGAGGAGCUGCCAGCAGAUUCACAGCUGAUUCUUCUACAGCAGGGGCCGGUCAGCGGAAAUGUGUUAGUUGUUGAAGGCCACGCGGUCUCUGUUGCAACUACUCAACUCUGCCGUUGUCCAACAAAAGCAACCACAGACUGUGGCAACCGCAGAUGUGGCUGUGCUUCCGUAAGACUUGAUUUAUAAAAACACAACCCACCGUUCACCGGCCCCUGUCCCACUGCUUCUAUACUCGAACCCAGGGCUCAGACUCUAAACUCCCGUAGCUGUGGGAACCGAAAACCAGACGUGCUCCGAAAGCUACAAAGACGGAAUCAUGACGAAGAGGCCACUUGUGCAAUACGCAGAUACAGGAGCUGUGUGACGGUUGUUAAGGCCCCACGGCUCUGUCGGGAGCACGCUUCAGCCACCUCGGAACACCCCCUUCCUUCGUGAGCAUCCACGGGCACAGGGGCGAGGGAACACAGAAGGGACAGGUGGGCAAGGACCAUUUUCAGACACAUGGGAAAUGUUUCGUCUGCAGUGGAGACGCCGGGCAGGCUCCGUGAAUCAAUCAUUUCCUUGCAUUAACACCUAAAUAGAACCAAAAGAAACCCAACAUGUGCCUUAAAACCAAAUUAAUCUCUAGGAAAAGCCAGGUGUGGGGAAGUGGGCGGGACCUGUGGAAGGAAGGCAGUCGGUUCACUAGAGGUUAGGAGGGCUUUGGUGUCAUUUGCUCCGUCACUUGCUAUGUGCGGGAGAGGCUUUCGUCUCCUGCCCUCCACCACCCAUCAGCGCAGGUCCACUGGGGCGGGGUGAGGGCGAGCCCGAAGCACGCAACUCAUGCAGGCUGCUGGAGCUGGGAAGUGGGUUGAAAUGAGUUCUCUCUCGCACUGUCUACACUACUGCCUCCCGACUGCCAAAGGCAGGCGAGAGCUCAGUGCACCAACAUCAGUAACAAAAUGAUCAACAAACAUCCAAAAUAUGUUUUCUGAUAAA